rnacentral:lncRNA from 1 species
AUUCAUCUUUGACAUGUUUUACUUCUCAGUUGUUCCUGGAGGAAGCUCGCAUUCUGUCGAAUAUAUGACAGGGCCUGUUCCUGUCAUCGUUUUCCGCUGGUCUGUCAUUGUGGAAAUCCCACGAGAUUUAGAAGAACCUCUGACGACAGUGUUUUUGCUGGCGUGAAACAAAUCACUUAAAUACGUAGCUCCUUCACAAACUGUCGGAUAGAAACUCUUCUGGGACUCAGAUCGUCUUUCCGUAUCACCAACUUUCUUAAGAGUCCCCGACAACGUCUGCCCGUAAAGCCCUUCACAGACACUCACACCGUGUCCCAGUUCCGUAGAUAGCCUUUUUUUUGGGCUGCCGGUUCCACUAUUGAUUUCCCAAUUCGUGCUACCCUCCUUCGCAAGACAUGUCGCUUCCUGGAGGUCCGCUUGGCAUUCCUGGACGAGCGAGCGAGGACAAGACGGGAACGGCCACUGAGUUCCACAAGGAAAGCCCAGGGCGACUGUCUCCCCAAGCCAGCCACAAAUGGCGUCCUCACUGCGCAAGUCUACUUCUUUCUCUCUAUUUUUUUGUCAUUCUGGUAGUUCUCCCUUCUCGCAUGUCUGACAAUUUCUCUUCAACCAGGGCUUUCAUGGCUGAGGCAGCCAGCAGUGGAUCUCGGGGGCGUGUCGACCUGGAUUCUGUGAAAGUUGAUGGUGAUGAGAAGACGGCAGCAACUGCAUCGACGCUCUCUGGUGCCCACAAUGAGACAGUGGACAAUAUUGUGAAAGGAGGUGGAGUACCGAGGGGCCAGGAUACCGACAUAAUGCCUCGUGCAACGAUCACAUCGCGAAGCACAAAGUUUUCUUCGCGCGUCGCAUUCCGUCGGACUGGGAUAUUAGCGAUGACAUUCGUCGCCAGUCUGGCUGCAGCUGGUGCGGUUGUCGCUUUGUUGACUCUGAAACGGUCCAAGCAGAAGACAAGGGAUAUGCAGCCACCGUCCGCUGGUGCCUGUGAGUCGUAGAACUGCCUGCGAAUUGCUUUCCGACGCCUCUGCACACACACACAGCGCAGGAAGCGAUACUCAGGUGAAGAGUUUACGGUGCUUGGCAGUGAGUCUGAAGUUUCCUGCGGAAUUCGGUGGCAACGGUAAUCAAUUUUCGAGCGGUCGCGUUGUCUUUGCUGCUCUCAUUAGGGACGUAAGUCGCAUGCGUGACACGCACAGAUGUCGUCUCGUUGAGGUGGCGGCCUGCUUGCACACACAGAGAAUCAGGCAAAAAGGCAAAGUGGUACCAGAACACUUUCACUGUCUUUGGACUUUCUUUCGAUGGGUCGCAUCUGCCUAGCCAAAUCUCGUGGGCUUGAAGCAGAGUCGCGGAACGGUCCGUGUGUAUUAACACGUGGAAAAGUGCAGCCAAUAGACGCUGAGCACAUCAUGGUCUCAAUUUAGUCAUGCAAUAAAGGGUUACAAUAGUGAAGCUGCAAUCACCUGACAUUUAUGGCCCCAAUCAGAAUACAAGUAAGGCAAAGCGUGUCCAGAAGCAGUAGGGCAAACUGACCUACCGUCGCGUUCUGUGUUGCUGGGGAUUGGGAAAAAGGGCAUCCUCGGCUGGCUAGAUGUAGAAAGGGAUCCCUUGUCACUUUUGUGGUUUUGGCGCUGAGGUUGAGGUUCUGAGUGUAACAUCCCAGCAGGCAGAUAUCAAGUAAUUCUACAUACCCGAGAACACUAGGCACCGCCUAGAUUGGCGACUGGGUUCGACACCCGAGGCACCCGAAGCAGAGCCAGCAGAGCUGAAGGUGAGUACUCGUUCUACCCGGUUCUACCGUUGCUGUCCGUGCUGGAUCAGGCGUGCCAGGACACGGAGGUGUUAUACCUGUUCAGCGUUGCCACAUGACAAGCGAGGAUAGCCAGUAUGUGAAGAAUCAAUCCGUCACCUGCUGCGCCUCAGAUGAAAUGCCUGGAACCAUAGUUGAGGCUGACGCUGAAGGUUGUUUUUGGAUUGGCGGUCGUUGGCGCCAUUGCACUACUAGUACGUUUUCCUGCAGGCUGUUGGAGAGUCUUCUCAUUGUUUCUUUACUUCGAAGACAGCAGGGCACCUGUAGGAAACUAAGUCUCCAACUAUUUCGUGGGUCGCUGCGGCGGCGUUGUAUCAAUAGGUAGCUGCAUUGUCUCCUUGCUUUUUUUUUAUCUCCAUGCGUCCAAGAUCGUUCGCUCAUCACUUCACAGAAUAACGUUUUUAUGCAGCUGGGCUAUCACCGUAGGGCUAUCCACUGCGCGGGACUACUGCUUGCAUGCUCCACGGCAUCAUCCCGCGCCCCCGAAGGUUACUGACUUACUCACGCUUCCGAUUCAUCCUACUGGAGUGCUACAGUACUUCAGCACAGUAAGCGUUAAGGAUGCAGAUGUAUAUUUUGAAGUUAUUUUUUGGAAGGGGUCAGCGGCGGAAGAGCUUCUCGGCCAGCAGCCACCCAACAAAGCAAAAAUUCGACUCACGCAGCGAACGCUGGGGCUCGCUGACCCUGAUUCAAACUAAGAGCAUUGCGCGGGGGAUGAAGGCUUCCAGCAGCUGGGGUGGUCCCGGUUGAUCGGUUCCGCCUCAAGCACUGCAGGAAUAUCUUGACCAACGACCGCCUCAUGCGUGCAAAAGGGACCAUGUGGCACUUAUGUUUGUUUAAAUGAGUGUUGAUAAGACGCUGCUCACGUGUCACUCAUAUGAACUGAAGUUAACAGUUCAUAGCAAAACUGGAGCUUCUUCCAGGUGCCAGAAGUACUUUUACGAGCCGUGCGGGGGACGGGAUCAGAAGCAGCAUUCUCGUAGUUUUGCCGUCGCUGCCACUCGCGGCCAAAAGCGGAUCUUGAGAACGCACGAAUUGUUUUGUUCUAGAGAGCCGUUUUUCGCGGUUGACCGGGACCCUCACUUUGUUGACAGGCAGCGAGUGGCAUUCUGGCUUUUCUUCUUCUGAGAGGUGUCGUUUCUGCGAGCACAGGCGUGCUGAUGUGCGCCGGCUCGAGCAUGACGACGCUUUGCGCGUCUGAUGGCAUGAAAAAGACGCGUUGCAACGGGAACAGGAUAACGCGAUUGUAGAGGAUUCCGAUCAGAUGUAUGAGCGUUUCGUCUUACCCGUUCGUAGAUUCGUUGGAGAUAGAAGCGUACAUAUCGUAUGCUGGUACUUGUCUGCCAUAUAGUUACGUGCCUAGUAGGAAAAAGUACCAUUGAGGCUUCUGUUCCAGCAGGGCGGGCGCUACUUACACAACUUCCGCAGGUUGCAGAUUUGUGAUAGAGAGCCACUUCCAUUUCUUACUUGUGGCGUGUCUCUCUUUCGGGCAACACUAACGCCAGUUGGAGGCCACCGAUCAUUCGAGGGGUUCUCUGGUUUGCAAGUAGGAAAUAAGCGCCUCAGCUAUUUUGAUUGUCAGUGGAUGUGGACACUUUUACUAUCUGAUUCGUGGAAGUGGACGAUCGUAUAAUGAGGCGUCAAUGGGAGUGGCUUAGGACUCUACGAGCUUACUGAUCACUGGUGUGGAGACGGAUGGCUGCACGCUGGGUGUUCGCGAGCCACUGCUGACGUCGGCCUUGAAAGGGGACUGGGGAUCAGCGGAAUCACUUUGGACAACAAAGGCAGAGCGAAUGCUGGCCUGGUAGGCGACGGAUGGUUGGCCGAGCCAUGGAGGACAUAAUGAAAUCAAGUGAGGGGACCUUUUUUGGAUGUCUCCAGACGCAGCCAGUAAGUGUCCAUAUCCUGGUUAUGUUGUGCACUGUCUUGUUACUUCACCUGGCCAUGUGGCUAGGUGUGCCAGAUUGUGUGCCACCCCGUCUGGAUAUCGGCCGAUUUAGGGCUCCGGAACAUUGGCGCAGGCAUUAAGAAACGUGUGUCAGAAGGAAGCACGAAGUCUCUCAUUGCCACGUAUCAGUAUGGUCUCCGUUCAGGAUUCACCAUUAUACACUGUGUUUCCAGGCAAGAGUACAUGCUGCGCCAGCAGACUCCGACUGCCAGGGUUGUAAAGGAC